rnacentral:lncRNA from 1 species
ACAGGCACCUCUCCGUCAAAGUGUGUGUUCCCUUGAAUUUUUUAAUUUGUCUGGGUAGUUUCGUAAUUUCAGUAAUUUACAGCUCAGCCUUAUAGUUGAUGAUUCUUUCUGCCUUUGCCCAGCAUGUGGACUCCCAAUUCGUCCAAGAUAAAAACUCAUUCAACACAACUUGUUAGAACCAUCCACUUCCAAGUUUAGCAUUAACUGUCCCAAAUCUCAGCAGGCCUCACCUACUAAUUCAACCAAAUUACUGUUGUUAGCCUUUUCAGAUUCAGAUCUACCACAAAGAGCAGGUAUAUUCCAAUCAUUACAGCAUUUCACUUAAUUUAUUCUUUUGUGUUCUACUUUUUCUUCUUGUGCCAAAAAAACAGAUCUUUGGGUUUUGGACUUCAUUACCAAUGUUUUCUUCAGUUUAGUCUUAAGAUCCGGUUCAGAAAGGUGAAAACAAAUUGAGGUUGAGUUCUGAUUUGUUCUCUAUUUUUAUUAAUUUAUUUUGGAUUUAGUAUGCGAUUUUGAAGUUGUCUUCAUUUUUCCCCUGGUAUUUAACUUUCUCUAAAAAUAUUGGUCUUUAAAAGACUGAACCCAAUGGGUUAUUUAGAUUUCCAUAAUUUACUAGUAGAAUGAACAAUAAAAUUUGUUACUUACGGUGUGUUGACAUUUUUUUUUGGUUUGAAUGUUCUAAACGCGGUUCUCUUGUAGUAAUAAGCUUCUGAAAAAAUGGGUUCCGACCAAAGAAACAAACGGCCAUAUGUAGAAUAUACAAACUCUGACAAAAAUGUCAAAAGACGUGAUACGUAUAGGCAAAUAUCGCCUGAUAAAAAAUAGGCAAUGUUACUACACCGCCGCACCAAAGAACUUGAGCGAUAAAAAUGGAAUAGUUCCAUAAACUCGGUAGCUGCUCCGGAUAAAAGAGUAAUGUACCAAUGUCACCCUAUGAUUCUAAAACCUAUUUCUCUUACCAUAAGAGAGGCUUCUUCUGCUGACGACCAAGGUUAGACUGAUUUAUUGCUUUUUAUUUACGUUAUAUUAGUGUAGGAGAAGACUAAUAAAUAUUCAUAUUUUACUAAGUCAUACAUUUCUUCUUGCAUUUGCAGGUUGCAGCUCUAUAUAGCUGAGACUGCAUUGCCUGCUCUUUGAUGUCAAUUACUUGACAGUUGACAUCUUUGACUGAGGUCUUAGAAUUCUACUCAUUCCGGGGAAAUUACUCAGUCAACCCAAAGCAAGGUAGUAAUAUUCCAAUUCUCCAAAGUUAUAUGGUGAUUCAUCAACUAUAUUAUUUUGUUUGGUUGUUAUGAUAUCACUGUUGAGUUUAUGGAUAGUGAUUUUGAUAAUCUUGGAUUCUAUUUGAUGCCAACUACUUAUAUGUAUGUAACAAAAGCUCUGAAUAUGGAUAAUUUGACAAGGCUAGCGGCUUAUUUGUCAUGGGAAUGUCCCGUUGAGCCCCUAUGUUGCUGCCUUGAACUAUGUACAACAAUUAAUUUUUUUUCAUAUUCGGCCAAUAUUUUUAACACAACUGAAUCAUACGAAGAACAUUUCGCAAAAUUUGGUUGAAGCAGUGUUUGGUGUAAGGUAUAUAAACACAUAGAAGAGAGAAUAGGUUGUAGCUCUAUUUUGCCCUCAUUAGAAUGCACAUUGGUGCUGAGAGAAUAUGCAUGUUCCUUACCUACAUCUUGCAAUUAUUAUCUCAUAUUGUGUUCAUUGUUGGGGUUGAAUAUUUACACAUUCCUCCUCCUGAAAAUGUCCACUGUCAAAAGGUAUUGGAAGCUCUAAGAUUUUAGACAUGGGGCAAGUAAGUGAUAUCUGUAUGUGAUAUGAACUAAAUAAAUGAAUUACCAACAGUUAAUGACUUGAUUUACGAAUGACUUGAAUGACAAAAUACCGAACUAGAAUAGAAUGCAUGCCGCUCUUUUCUUAAUCUUAUUUUUUUAUGUCAUUUGAUGUCUCCAUGUGUUAUAUGCCUGAAACGACUAAGUAAUGUUUUAUUGUGUUUUUUUUUUACUGAUAUUCUCAAACAUACUUAUUUUUCAGUCAUAAAUUUGGUACAUUAUUUAUCAACGUACAGAAAUUUGGUACAAAAUUGCAUUUUCUGUACAGAAUAAUGAUGCGAAUAUAGAAAUAGACGAGGUAAAUAAAUAUCGUUCUGCUAGAUGGGUAUCACCUUCGGAAGCUGUAUGGCGUCUCUUUCGGUUUCAUAUUAGCAAAAUGUCUCCGAAUGUUUAUCGUCUUCAGCUGCCUAUGGUUCUCACACUCCAGUAGAAUUUUGGAAUUUUUUUACAAUUCAAAACAAAAUUUAUGUUCAACGGCUUAUCAAUUCUUGGUCCAAAUUACAUAUUCUCACCUACUACUUUACACUUAACUCUCACUUUGUUGUAUACAGAUGCCUUAUCAGAUUUGAAGUGCAACAAAGGUCGCUCAAAAUUUUUCCCGAUAGCCUACCGCGGUUGUAAUACUUGCAUUGAAGGCACAUUUUGAUGGUGUUUUACUGCAGUACAUUCUUCCACAUUUUGUGCAAAUAAGUACGUAGAUUUUUAUGAACUGUUUACUACAGUACAACGUCUCACAUUUUGUAUAAAUAGUAAGGCAAACUGACUCUUACCAGGGUAGAUUUUGGUGGUAUUAUUUACUACAGUACAAUCCUCCACAUUUUGUAUAAAUAACUACACAGGUUUUCAUGAACUAUUUACUAUUAGCUACGCAAACUAAGUCAUUUCAUCAGAACUCUAAUCCAACAGUAAAAU